CGGACACAUCUAUGAACAGCUGGGGCAAUUUCCACUGCCUUCUGAGAUGAGCUUUCAUUUCUUUGUGAGCACAAGACACACAGGAAAUUUUGGACUUCCGGGUGUCACUAUGCAGAGAGGUUUAGCCUGAAGGUUUUGUCUUCCCCUGAAUGGGCUCCAGACUCAAACAGUCUCUCUCUUCAUGUUGCAACAGAACAAAUUUUAAUGACAUUUAAGAAGCACCUGGCUGUGAGAACAGAAGAAACACCCAGGAGCUGUUUGCAGACAGCCCCCGAAGGAGGCCGGCCUCAGAUCCAUCCGCAUCAUCUCUCUCCUCUCCCUCUCCAAGAAGGAAGUUGAUCCUAGUGAUUUCAGCCCAUGCACGCAACAGGAAGCAAUAAUAAAUAUGUAGAAUUCAUAUUUUUCUAAAGGGAACUUAAAAACUGCUGCUACAUGUCAUGUACAAAAUUGGUUAAUGCCACGUGAACAGAGAAUUACAAGUUUGGUUUUGGUACUUUUUGUUCCUCUUUGUACUCAGUUGUAUAGAACUUCCAAAUCCAGAAUGAAAAGAAAGCUGUUCUGUAUCGAAU
rnacentral:lncRNA from 1 species